UACGUAGGGUGCAAGCGUUAAUCGGAAUUACUGGGCGUAAAGCGUGCGCAGGCGGCUUUGCAAGACAGAUGUGAAAUCCCCGGGCUCAACCUGGGAACUGCAUUUGUGACUGCAUGGCUAGAGUACGGUAGAGGGGGAUGGAAUUCCGCGUGUAGCAGUGAAAUGCGUAGAUAUGCGGAGGAACACCGAUGGCGAAGGCAAUCCCCUGGACCUGUACUGACGCUCAUGCACGAAAGCGUGGGGAGCAAACAG
rnacentral:rRNA from 1 species